AGGAAGAAGUGUGACCGUCCUCCUUUGGCUCUUCCUGCUUCUACUGGUUAUUACCAUAUUAGCCAUUGUUCUACCGCUCGUCCUUGGUGGCACAGGUGAAUGUCCUGCCCCUGUGACCACCCCCUCUGACCCCUGUGACGACGGCUGGAUUGGGUACAAGAAAAAAUGUUAUUAUUUCUCCACAAAUAUUACCGAGUGGGAGAAGAGCCAGGAGUUCUGUGUCUCCAGGAAUGCUACUCUUGCCAUUAUAGACUUAAGACAUGAGCUGGAUUUCAUAAUCCGAUCUAAAGGGCCUUCUGACCAUUGGAUUGGUCUAAAAAGGGAAAGUGAUGGAAAGUCGUGGAUUUGGGCAAAUGGCUCAGUCUUAAAGAAUAUUUCGCGGAGCACAGGUUCAUGGGAACUUAUCAACAGGGAUUUCAGGUUCCUGAUCAUCGGCGCUUCGGACUGUGUGCUGGUGAACAGCGGUCGCAUCUCCAGCGCUUCCUGUAACUCGGAUAAAUACUGGAUCUGUAACAAGCCCGACGCUUACAAUUCUCAUUUUUAAUAGGAGACGCUACAAGACCAAGAGCACAGAUAUAUUCAGUUGCCUUGAUGCUCCCCCCCCAUAUACAGGAAAAUGGUGGCCUGUCCAGGUUCAUCCCACUGCAAGGCUACACUGCAAAAUACUGUAGUCCACCCAUUCCAGUUAUUAUGUAGUGUCCCACUAGGUAGGGGUGGGCACUACACAAGGGUCAAUUGGUGUGCGCGUUACUCCUACUCACAAGGGACAGAAAUUUUAUAUU